AGCGAACGCUGGCGGCAGGCUUAACACAUGCAAGUCGAGCGGGCACUUUCGGGUGUCAGCGGCGGACGGGUGAGUAACGCGUGGGAACGUGCCCUCUGGUUCGGAAUAACUCAGGGAAACUUGAGCUAAUACCGGAUACGCCCUUUUGGGGAAAGGCUUGCUGCCGGAGGAUCGGCCCGCGUCUGAUUAGCUAGUUGGUGAGGUAACGGCUCACCAAGGCGACGAUCAGUAGCUGGUCUGAGAGGAUGCUCAGCCACACUGGGACUGAGACACGGCCCAGACUCCUACGGGAGGCAGCAGUGGGGAAUAUUGGACAAUGGGCGCAAGCCUGAUCCAGCCAUGCCGCGUGAGUGAUGAAGGCCUUAGGGUUGUAAAUCUCUUUUAUCCGGGACGAUAAUGACGGUACCGGAGGAAUAAGCCCCGGCUAACUUCGUG
rnacentral:rRNA from 1 species